rnacentral:lncRNA from 1 species
CUGUUCCCCCCCCCCCCAAAAGAAAAAACCAAGGUCGGAUGUUUGCCGGCUCCGGGUUGGAUGUUUGCCGGCUCCGGUGUCGGAUCUUUGCCGGCUCCGGUGUCGGAUAUUUGCCGGCUCCGGUGUCGGAUGUUUGCCGGCUCCGGCGUCAUCGACGUCGGAUGUUUCCCGGUUCUGACGUUGCUCCCCAAGUUGGAUGAUUCUCUGCUUCGGUGUUGCUCAUGUUGGGAUGUUUCCCGGCUCCGGUGUUGGCUGAGGUCGGAUGAUUCCCGGCUCCAAUGUCCCCAAAGUCGGACAAUUCCCAGCUCUGAUGUUAUCUGAGGUUGGAUGAUUCUUGGCUCCGAUGUCCCCAACGUUCGAUGUUUCCCGGCUCUGGUGUUGGCUGAGGUCGGAUGAUUCCCAGCUCCAAUGUCCCCAAAGUCGGACAAUUCCCAGCUCUGAUGUUAUCUGAGGUUGGAUGAUUCUUGGCUCCGAUGUCCCCAACAUUGGACAUUUCCCAGUUCCGGUGUCGCCAACAUCAGACGAUUCCCAGCUCCAAUGUUAACUGAGAUCGGAUGAUUCCCGGUUCCGGUGUCCCCAACGUCGGGCAACUCCCAGCUCCGAUGUUAUCUGAGAUCAGAUGAUUCCCAGCUCCAAUGUCCCCAAUGUUGGAUGUUUCCCAGCUCCAGUGUUGCUCCAGGUCGGAUGUUUCCCGACUCCGGUGCUGCCAACAUCGGACAUUUCCCAGCUCCGGUGUUGCUCCAGGUUGGAUGUUUCCCAGCUCCGGUGUCGCCGUCAGACGAUUCCCAGCUCCAGUGUUAUCCGAGGUCAGAUGAUUCCCGGCUCUGAUGUCCCCAAAGUUGGACGACUCCCGGCUCUUGGUGUCCCCCCAGGUCGGACGUUGCCCAGCUCCGAUGUCUCCCCAGGUUGGAUGAUUCCCAGUUCCAAUGUCCCCAAAGUUGGAUGAUUCCCGGCUCCGAUGUCCCCAACAUYGGACAUUUCCCGGCUCCGACGUCCCCCACGUUGGACGCUCGCCGGCGCCGCCGGUUUUGGUGUCGGCCAGAUCCAAUAUCGGCCGGUUUUGGUGUCCACCAGCUCCGACACCUGCGGGUCGGACGCUGCCCAUUCCCGUCGCCCCGUUUUCCGUCCCCGUCGCCCCGUUUUCCGUCCCUGUCGUCCCGUUUUCUGCCCCUGUUGUCCCGUUUUCCAUCUCCACCGCCCACCGGCUUCAACGUCCCCCCAGGUGAGACAUUUCCCAGUGCCAAAACCCACCGGUUUUGGUGUUUGCCGGCUUCAACAUCUGCCGGUUUUGGUGUCCACCAGCUCC